AGCGGCGGAAGGGUGAGUAAUGCCUAGGAAUCUGCCUGGUAGUGGGGGAUAACGUUCCGAAAGGAACGCUACCAAUCCAUACGUCCUACGGGAGAAAGCAGGGGACCUUCGGGAUUAGCUCUAUCAGAUGAGCCUAGGUCGGAUUAGCUAGGGCGGUGUGUAAUGGCUCACCAAGGCGACGAUCCGUAACUGGUCUGAGAGGAUGAUCAGUCACACUGGAACUGAGACACGGUCCAGACUCCUACGGGAGGCAGCAGUGGGGAAUAUUGGACAAUGGGCGAAAGCCUGAUCCAGCCAUGCCGCGUGUGUGAAGAAGGUCUUCGGAUUGUAAAGCACUUUAAGUUGGGAGGAAGGGCAGUAAAUUAAUACUUUGCUGUUUUGACGUUACCGACAGAAUAAGCACCGGCUAACUCUGUGCCAGCAGCCGCGGUAAUACAGAGGGUGCAAGCGUUAAUCGGAAUUACUGGGCGUAAAGCGCGCGUAGGUGGUUUGUUAAGUUGGAUGUGAAAGCCCCGGGCUCAACCUGGGAACUGCAUCCAAAACUGGCAAGCUAGAGUACGGUAGAGGGUGGUGGAAUUUCCUGUGUAGCGGUGAAAUGCGUAGAUAUAGGAAGGAACACCAGUGGCGAAGGCGACCACCUGGACUGAUACUGACACUGAGGUGCGAAAGCGUGGGGAGCAACUAAGGACAGAUACCCUGGUAGUCCACGCCGUAAACGAUGUCAACUAGCCGUUGGGUUCCUUGAGAACUUAGUGGCGCAGCUAACGCAUUAAGUUGACCGCCUGGGGAGUACGGCCGCAAGGUUAAAACUCAAAUGAAUUGACGGGGGCCCGCACAAGCGGUGGAGCAUGUGGUUUAAUUCGAAGCAACGCGAAGAACCUUACCAGGCCUUGACAU
rnacentral:rRNA from 2 species